GAGUCGCGAAACGAAACGAACAUCAGGAUGAUGACGUUUCAGCGGGAUACACCAGGACGGUGCUGCAAGGAAAGGCUUCUGGAUCGAAGCGAAAGGAUUACGCAGGAUGCGUUAAAGGACACCUCCAGGACGGAGAAAGAGAACCGGUCAGGAUGCCCGGCGGAUCAGGAAGAUCAGGACACGCUUACGGAUAAGUCAAAUCGCAUCGGGGUGGUGCGAGCAGGAUGCAAUAGUUUAUGGAUGAACUGGUCAGGAGACCAUAGGAAAAGUUUUCACGGAUGAGCAGGGAGCAACAAAGGUAGCUGGACUGCUGCGAAACGAACCGGGAGCACUGUGCAAACAGUGCUCCCUUUUUUUAUU
rnacentral:other from 1 species